GACGAACGCUGGCGGCGUGCCUAAUACAUGCAAGUCGAGCGAAGCGGCGGAUGGGUGAGAAACGCGUGGGUAACAUGGCUUUAAGUUUGGGAUACCAUUUGGAAACAGAUGCUAAUACCGGAUCCUAAGGGAGGGAGCUGCGAGGCAUCAGCUAGUUGGUAAGGUAACGGCUUACCAAGGAGAUGAUGCAUAGCUGAUGUGAGAGACUGAGCGGCCACAUUGGGACUUAGACACGGCCCAAACUCCUACGGGAGGCAGCAGUAGGGAAUCUUCCACAAUGGACGAAAGUCUGAUGGAGCAACGCCGCGUGAGUGAAGAAGGUUUUCGGAUCGUAAAGCUCUGUUGUUGGUGAAGCGGUAAUCAACCAGAAAGUCACGGCUAACUACGUGCCAGCAGCCGCGGUAAUAC
rnacentral:rRNA from 1 species